AUGUUAGACUGGUCCACGCUGAUAUCAAGUCCUGGAGACAGCAUGAAAAUCCGCUCGGCCCCGCGGGUCCCCAGGGUGCGGCGCCUGCCACGCGCGUGCACGGGGCAGGCUCGGGGCCCGCUGCGCCGCGCUCAGCUGUGUCCUUGCCCGGUUCCUCGCCCCCUGCGGGGCGAGCGGGGCCGGGGGCUUCCUCCCUGCCGGGGCCGCGUCCCCUCCUGGCCGUGCUCAGCCCCUGUGCCCCUGAGAGCUGCGAAGGAAGCGAACGCCCGCGAGCGGCGGGAGCCGUCCCCAGUCUGCGUAGCAGGUCUACCAGGGGCCCCGCCGCGGGACGGAGCUGCCCCCACGCCUCUCACCAGACCCCGUCCCGAUGCCCGUCCCUCUCCUUGGGGUGCCAGAAGGCUGCAGCAGGGCACCCACGGGCUUGCACGGCGCCAGCAGCUCCCACGCAGGUGUCCCACCCACAAAAGCCACGGGGGGGGGCAUUGGUGCGGCCAGGGUGCCCCCUUUCCGCGGGUUGCAGCCCCGCUGCCCAUGCGCUCCUCUCCGCUGUUGGGCACGUUGCGGGGGCUCUGGCCCAUUGCAAGCCCCGGGGUGGGCGAGCGCUGCGCCUGGGGCCCUCCGGUGCCACCGCCGAGGGUCCCAGACCCCCCCCCCCGGCUGGGCUGGCACCCGUGGCUGUGCUGGAGCUCGUCCCCACGCAGGACGGGUGCCGGGUGCGCGGCGCGGGGCCGGGAGCCCCCAGCUGCGGGGCUGCCGAUCGCCGUCGCACCCUGCGUGGAUCGGGGCCCCCUGGGCGCUCCCCCUGCGGCGGCAGGACCCCCGGCCCCUCGUGCCCCCCCCCACCCCCCCCCGGGCCCCGCUUUCUCUGAGCCAUUCUCCCGCUGCGGCGGCGCCCCGUGCGCUCGGUGGCGCGGCCGGCCCCGGCUCGUGCGCGCAGCACCCCGCCGCAGCGCGGAGGCGUUUUCAUGCUGUGCGCCCCUGCAAGGCUCCACGAUGUCGUGCUGGACCAGUCUGGGCAACUUCGACGUAUUAAAGGAAAAAAAAAAAAAAAAGUUGAAGAAAAAGGCAAAAAAAGCCCCACCCGCCCUCUAA
rnacentral:lncRNA from 1 species